GACGAACGCUGGCGGCGUGCUUAACACAUGCAAGUCGAGCGGUAAGGCCCUUUCGGGGGUACACGAGCGGCGAACGGGUGAGUAACACGUGGGUGACCUGCCCUCAGCUCUGGGAUAAGCCCGGGAGACUGGGUCUAAUACUGGAUAUGACUCCAUGACGCAUGUUGUGGGGUGGAAAGCCUUGUGCGGCUGAGGAUGGGGCCCGCGGCCUAUCAGCUUGNGGUGGGGUGAUGGCCUACCAAGGCGACGACGGGUAGCCGGCCUGAGAGGGGCGACCGGCCACACUGGGACUGAGACACGGCCCAGACUCCUACGGGAGGCAGCAGUGGGGAAUCUUGCGCAAUGGGCGAAAGCCUGACGCAGCGACGCCGCGUGAGGGAUGACGGCCUGGU
rnacentral:rRNA from 1 species